AAUAACUAUUAUUAGUCUAUGAUUUCUUUUGCAGUGGUUAUUUGGCUCCCGAAUAUGCGAUUAGGGGCAAGUUAACACGAAAAGCUGAUAUAUAUAGUUUCGGUGUUCUCCUCCUUGAAAUUGUGAGUGGAAGAUGCAACACAAACAAAAAAUUACUACCUGCAGAACAAAAUCUUCUUGAAAAGGCGUGGAUAAUGUACGAGAAAGAUAAGCUGGUUCAGUUGGUGGAUACGUCACUCGAAGAAGGGGACCCGUGUACCGAAGAGGCGUGCAAAUAUAUAAAGAUUGGACUUUUAUGCACACAAGAUAUGCCGAAAAAUCGUCCCACAAUGUCUAUUAUCGUAAAUAUGCUCAAAGGCGAGAUAAAUGUGGACGAAGUGAAGAUUUCAAAGCCGGGAUUGCUUAAGGAGCUAAUGAAUAUGAAGGGGUCGAGUGACGCACAGUCGUCUGCGUGGGGCACACAAGAUAAGUCUUCAUCCUCAAUUGGAACUAUGACUUUCACUUCGAUAUUUGAUCGAAGUAAUUGAGUCUCGAAUCUUCUGACAAUUGGAAAAAAAAAAAAACUAUUUUUUUAACUGUUCUUGAAGUGUGAACCGACUCCAUUGGUGAAGAUUAGUAGAUGAUUGUUGUUAUUUUGCUUUUUGUAACUCGUCGAAGUUGGGGGGAAAUAUAGUUAAUUUCAGUUGAAUAUUUGAAAUUAUACGGAAACUAGUAAAUAAUCAAAGGUUUUUAUUGCAAGGAUGCUGUAGGUAUAAUGUGUAGUAACUGUUUCAGUUAUUCCGGUUAGCGUUUUUUUUUUGGACGAAACUCCGGUUAUAGUGUAAUAUUUUGGUUAGUUGUUAUCGUGAUUUUUUUUUAUUUGUUU